rnacentral:siRNA from 1 species
UCCCCUGCCUUCGCCGGAAAGGCU